rnacentral:rRNA from 1 species
UACGUAGGGGGCAAGCGUUGUCCGGAAUCAUUGGGCGUAAAGAGCGUGUAGGCGGCCCGAUAAGUCCGCUGUGAAAGCCCAGGGCUCAACCCUGGGAUGCCGGUGGAUACUGUCGAGCUCGAGUCCGGAAGAGGCGAGUGGAAUUCCUGGUGUAGCGGUGAAAUGCGCAGAUAUCAGGAGGAACACCAAUGGCGAAGGCAGCUCGCUGGGACGUGACUGACGCUGAGACGCGAAAGCGUGGGGAGCAAACAGG